rnacentral:rRNA from 1 species
UACGAAGGGGGCUAGCGUUGUUCGGAAUCACUGGGCGUAAAGCGCACGUAGGCGGAUCUUUAAGUCAGAGGUGAAAUCCCAAGGCUCAACCUUGGAACUGCCUUUGAUACUGGAGAUCUUGAGUCCGGGAGAGGUGAGUGGAACUGCGAGUGUAGAGGUGAAAUUCGUAGAUAUUCGCAAGAACACCAGUGGCGAAGGCGGCUCACUGGCCCGGUACUGACGCUGAGGUGCGAAAGCGUGGGGAGCAAACAGGG